AACGAACGCUGGCGGCAUGCCUAACACAUGCAAGUCGAACGAGACCUUCGGGUCUAGUGGCGCACGGGUGCGUAACGCGUGGGAACCUGCCCUUAGGUUCGGAAUAACUCCCCGAAAGGGGUGCUAAUACCGGAUAAUGUCUUCGGACCAAAGAUUUAUCGCCUUUGGAUGGGCCCGCGUUGGAUUAGCUAGUUGGUAGGGUAAAAGCCUACCAAGGCGACGAUCCAUAGCUGGUCUGAGAGGAUGAUCAGCCACACUGGGACUGGGACACGGCCCAGACUCCUUCCGGAGGGAGGCAUGGGGGAUAUUGGAACAUGGGGCGAAGGCUGAACCAGCAAUGCCGCGUGAGUGAUGAAGGCCUUAGGGUUGUAAAGCUCUUUUACCCGGGAUGAUAAUGACAGUACCGGGAGAAUAAGCUCCGGCUAACUCCGUG
rnacentral:rRNA from 1 species